AACGCGAAGAACCUUACCUGGGCUCGAACGGCUUCUCAACGCCGGUGGAAACAUCGGUAUCCCGCAAGGGAGUGGAGUCGAGGUGCUGCAUGGCUGUCGUCAGCUCGUGUCGUGAGAUGUUGGGUUAAGUCCCGCAACGAGCGCAACCCUUGUCCUGUGUUGCCAUGCCCGAAAGGGCGGAACUCGCAGGAGACCGCCAGCGAUAAGCUGGAGGAAGGUGGGGAUGACGUCAAGUCCUCAUGGCCUUUAUGUCCAGGGCUACACACGUGCUACAAUGGACGGUACAAUACGUCGCUAACCCGCGAGGGGGAGCCAAUCGCAAAAAACCGUUCUCAGUUCGGAUUGCAGGCUGCAACUCGCCUGCAUGAAGCUGGAAUCGCUAGUAAUGGCAGAUCAGCACGCUGCCGUGAAUACGUUCCCGGGCCUUGUACACACCGUAGUAC
rnacentral:rRNA from 1 species